rnacentral:rRNA from 1 species
UGGCGGACGGGUGAGAAACACGUAGGAACCUGCCCAAGAGAGGGGGACAACCAAGGGAAACUUUGGCUAAUACCGCAUAAUCUCUGGCGAGAAAAGUUGCCCGUAAGGGUAGCGCUUUUGGAGGGGCCUGCGUCCGAUUAGUUAGUUGGUGAGGUAACGGCUCACCAAGACGAUGAUCGGUAACUGGUCUGAGAGGACGACCAGUCACACUGGGACUGAGACACGGCCCAGACUCCUACGGGAGGCAGCAGUGGGGAAUCUUGGACAAUGGGGGAAACCCUGAUGCAGCAACGCCGCGUGAAGGAAGAAGGCCCUUGGGUCGUAAACUUCUUUUCUAAGGGAAGAUAAUGACGGUACCUUAGGAACAAGUCCCGGCUAACUACGUGCCAGCAGCCGCGGUAAUA